rnacentral:rRNA from 1 species
AUUGAACGCUGGCGGCAUGCCUUACACAUGCAAGUCGAACGGCAGCACGGGUGCUUGCACCUGGUGGCGAGUGGCGAACGGGUGAGUAAUACAUCGGAACAUGUCCUGUAGUGGGGGAUAGCCCGGCGAAAGCCGGAUUAAUACUGCAUACGAUCUACGGAUGAAAGCGGGGGACCUUCGGGCCUCGCGCUUUAGGGUUGGCCGAUGGCUGAUUAGCUAGUUGGUGGGGUAAAGGCCUACCAAGGCGACGAUCAGUAGCUGGUCUGAGAGGACGACCAGCCACACUGGGACUGAGACACGGCCCAGACUCCUACGGGAGGCAGCAGUGGGGAAUUUUGGACAAUGGGCGAAAGCCUGAUCCAGCAAUGCCGCGUGAGUGAAGAAGGCCUUCGGGUUGUAAAGCACUUUUGUCCGGAAAGAAAUCCUUGGCCCUAAUACGGUCGGGGGAUGACGGUACCGGAAGAGUAAGCACCGGCUAACUACGUG